AUUAUACCAAGAGUAAUUAAACAGCCCAAAGGUCUAAUUUCCACCGCCCGUACGCCCACACCCUCAACCAGAUACGUGAAAGCAUUAACCUAAAACACGGAUUAGAUACCCGUCUAUUUAUGCCAUAAAUAAAUAAUUGAACAAUACGGUCAAAAGACUAAAAAUCAAAAAAUUUGGCGGUGUUUCAUCAAACCAGGGGAACCUGGUCCCAUAAAUCGAUAAUCCACGAACAAUUUACCUUCUAUAGCCAAUGAGCAGCCUGUGUACUGCCGUCGCAAGCUAACCUUUAAAAGAAAGUUAGCAAACAUACCCCAUAACUACGUCAGGUCAAAGUGCAGCCAAUAAGUAGGAGGAACGAUGGGUUACAACCUAUAUAUAGAUAACGCACCAGAGUUAAAAAAAUUCUAUAAAGGUGGACUUGGAUGUAAU
rnacentral:rRNA from 1 species